rnacentral:rRNA from 1 species
UUGAACGCUGGCGGAAUGCUUUACACAUGCAAGUCGAGCGGCAGCGCGGGGGCAACCCUGGCGGCGAGCGGCGAACGGGUGAGUAACAUAUCGGAACGUACCCAGACGUGGGGGACAACUAGUCGAAAGACUAGCUAAUACCGCAUACGUCCUACGGGAGAAAGCGGGGGCUCGCAAGACCUCGCGCGUUUGGAGCGGCCGAUAUCUGAUUAGCUAGAUGGUGGGGUAAAGGCUCACCAUGGCGACGAUCAGUAGCUGGUCUGAGAGGAUGAUCAGCCACACUGGAACUGAGACACGGUCCAGACUCCUACGGGAGGCAGCAGUGGGGAAUUUUGGACAAUGGGGGAAACCCUGAUCCAGCCAUUCCGCGUGAGUGAAGAAGGCCUUCGGGUUGUAAAGCUCUUUCGGCAGGAACGAAACGGCGGAUACUAAUAUUAUCCGUUACUGACGGUACCUGAAGAAGAAGCACCGGCUAACUACGU